GGCCCUGUAGUGUAGCGGUCCAUCACAUCGGAUUCUGACAACAUCUGAUUACGUAAUCAUAUAACGUAACGGUCCGGAGAUUCCGGUAACCCAGGUUCGAUUCCUGGCAGGGCCU
rfam:Gloeophyllum trabeum ATCC 11539 unplaced genomic scaffold GLOTRscaffold_00004, whole genome shotgun sequence.